UACGGCCAUAUCACGUUAUAUCAUCGGUUCCCGUACGAUCACCGAAGUUAAGCAAAGUCGAUCUUGGUCAGUACCUAGACGGGUGACCAAUUGGCAAUACCAG